GAUGAAGAACGUAGCGAAAUGCGAUAAGUAAUGUGAAUUGCAGAAUUCAGUGAAUCAUCGAAUCUUUGAACGCACAUUGCGCCCCUUGGUAUUCCGGGGGGCAUGCCUGUUCGAGCGUCAUUUCAACCCUUAAGCCUAGCUUAGUGUUGGGAGACUGCCUAAUACGCAGCUCCUCAAAACCAGUGGCGGAGUCUGUUCGUGCUCUGAGCGUAGUAAUUUUUUAUCUCGCUUCUGCAAGCCGGCCAGACGACAGCCAUAAACCGCACCCUCUCGGGGGGCACUUUUUUAAUGGUUGACCUCGGAUCAGGUAGGAAUACCCGCUGAACUUAAGCAUAUCAAUAAGCGGAGGA
rnacentral:misc_RNA from 1 species